AGACACAGAACUGCCCGGGUCUGGCUGCUGGGGACAGUUUGCACCUUCACUUAAGAUGAACCUGCUACUGAUUUUCCUGUUCAUGCUGGAGGUCCCUUCAGGUGUCCUCUCCCAAGUGCAGCUGAAGGAAACGGGUCCAGGAGCGGUGAAACCCGGGGAGUCCCUGACACUCACUUGUACCAUCUCCGGCGACUCAGUUUCUAGCACCAGCGUCACCUGGACCUGGGUCCGGCAGCCCGUGGGGAAAGGGCUGGAAUGGGUAGGGCGCAUUUACUACAGACCGAGCCAGUGGUACACUAACUACGCCAGCUCUCUGCAGAGUCGAACGACCAUCGCACAAGACACUUCCAAGAACCAGUUCUCCCUGCAGCUCCGCUCGCUGACAGCUGCAGACACCGCCACCUAUUACUGUGCCAGAGAGACACAGUGACACAGCAAAGCAGGGCCUGGUACAAAAAGGGGAAGCAUAUUCUGACCAGUGCAGGGAGACAAUCAGAACGGAAAGAGCUGUUAUUCCCAUCAUUGAAAUGCAUGUAAGUGAAAGAAAAUGGAAGGGGAGGCGGGUAAGGAAUCUGGGGGAAUUUUCUACAUAUCUGUGGACCAAAGUGAUGCAACAAAGAGGAAGAUCAUGAGCUUUAGUGACAAGCCUCAACCCCCUGGUUGCAAUAUUUCUAAAAUCGCUCCUGGCUCUUGUCCAGGAAAAUUCAAUCUUACAGACAUUCCAAGGGGUUGAGAGAGAAACUAACUAGCAAACCCAGUCCUUCCACACUGGUCAGGAAAGAGAAAUAGAGAAAGAGACAGAAAAUGACUGACUGAAGAAAUGAUGUUGAUCUGUGAAGUUUUGAGAAGCACCUACGUUAAUCAGGAGCCGCUCUGAACCAGGCAGUUACCUGCCUGAAGGAUCUGGUCCUGGAGGGUCCACCUGGGAGAACAGGGCCCGGGGGGCUUAUUCAGCCCGGGUCGCUGCCAUUGGGGUGAAAGCCCAGGGC